AGUGAACGCUGGCGGCAGGCCUAAUACAUGCAAGUCGAACGGCAGCACAGUGGAGCUUGCUCCAUGGGUGGCGAGUGGCGGACGGGUGAGGAAUACAUGGGAAUCUGCCCAGUCGUGGGGGAUAACGUAGGGAAACUUACGCUAAUACCGCAUGCGCCCUUCGGGGGAAAGCCGGGGACCUUCGGGCCUGGCGCGAUUGGAUGAGCCCAUGUUCGAUUAGCUAGUUGGCGGGGUAAAGGCCCACCAAGGCGACGAUCGAUAGCUGGUCUGAGAGGAUGAUCAGCCACACUGGAACUGAGACACGGCCCAGACUCCUACGGGAGGUAGCAGUAGGGAAUAUUGGACAAUGGGCGCAAGCCUGAUCCAGCCAUGCCGCGUGAGUGAAGAAGGCCCUCGGGUUGUAAAGCUCUUUUGUCCGGGAAGAAAAGCAUCGGGCUAAUACCUCGGUGUUCUGACGGUACCGGAAGAAUAAGCACCGGCUAACUUCGUG
rnacentral:rRNA from 1 species